AUCUGAGUAUUUUGCCAAAUUGGCUCAGUUUCAAGAUAAAGUGAAACUUUGGGGCAGAACUUUUUAAACCAAACCCAGCCCUUGCACAAUGGGAGGAAGUGAAAAACUGGUAUCUUUUGUCACAAACACUGCUGCUGCUACGCCCUUCAAUGCAGAAAUUAGUAACUCAGGCUCUCUACACAGCCAGCGGGGCCUUGGUGAGAACCAGCGAACUGUUAAGGUGCUUGUUUUUAUGCCCAUUGUCAUAGUUUGCUGCGGAGCACUGGAGAGAACAUCUGAGAAGCUUUAAAAAGGUGACAAGGAGGAACAGCUCCCUGUAGAUGGUACUCUCAGGGAGUAAGGCCAGGAACUGAAGACACCGUUGGGAAAAAGACAACCCAAGGCUCAAGGCCACUGAAGGCAGAAGAAACUGAACACAGGCAGGGACAGCUCCUGUCUCAGAAAACGCAGAGCCCUGGCAGACUUCCACUUACAUUUUGUUGGCCAGAAUGAAUCACAUGGCUGUCUCUA